UUUGGUUAAGUUAGAAAGGGCGCACGGUGGAUGCCUUGACACUAGGAGUCGAUGAAGGACGGGACUAACGCCGAUAUGCUUCGGGGAGCUGUAAGUAAGCUUUGAUCCGAAGAUUUCCGAAUGGGGAAACCCACCAUACGUAAUGGUAUGGUAUCCUUAUCUGAAUACAUAGGGUAAGGAAGACAGACCCAGGGAACUGAAACAUCUAAGUACCUGGAGGAAGAGAAAGCAAAUGCGAUUUCCUGAGUAGCGGCGAGCGAAACGGAACAUAGCCCAAACCAAGAGGCUUGCCUCUUGGGGUUGUAGGACAUUCUAUACGGAGUUACAAAGGAACGAGGUAGACGAAGCGACCUGGAAAGGUCCGUCGUAGAGGGUAACAACCCCGUAGUCGAAACUUCGUUCUCUCUUGAAUGUAUCCUGAGUACGGCGGAACACGUGAAAUUCCGUCGGAAUCUGGGAGGACCAUCUCCCAAGGCUAAAUACUCCCUAGUGAUCGAUAGUGAACCAGUACCGUGAGGGAAAGGUGAAAAGCACCCCGGAAGGGGAGUGAAAGAGAUCCUGAAACCGUGUGCCUACAAAUAGUCAGAGCCCGUUAACGGGUGAUGGCGUGCCUUUUGUAGAAUGAACCGGCGAGUUACGAUCCCGUGCGAGGUUAAGCUGAAGAGGCGGAGCCGCAGCGAAAGCGAGUCUGAAUAGGGCGUUUAGUACGUGGUCGUAGACCCGAAACCAGGUGAUCUACCCAUGUCCAGGGUGAAGUUCAGGUAACACUGAAUGGAGGCCCGAACCCACGCACGUUGAAAAGUGCGGGGAUGAGGUGUGGGUAGCGGAGAAAUUCCAAUCGAACCUGGAGAUAGCUGGUUCUCCCCGAAAUAGCUUUAGGGCUAGCCUUAAGUGUAAGAGUCUUGGAGGUAGAGCACUGAUUGGACUAGGGGUCCUCAUCGGAUUACCGAAUUCAGUCAAACUCCGAAUGCCAAUGACUUAUCCUUAGGAGUCAGACUGCGAGUGAUAAGAUCCGUAGUCAAAAGGGAAACAGCCCAGACCGCCAGCUAAGGUCCCAAAGUGUGUAUUAAGUGGAAAAGGAUGUGGAGUUGCUUAGACAACUAGGAUGUUGGCUUAGAAGCAGCCACCAUUUAAAGAGUGCGUAAUAGCUCACUAGUCGAGUGACUCUGCGCCGAAAAUGUACCGGGGCUAAAUACACCACCGAAGCUGCGGAUUGAUACCAAUGGUAUCAGUGGUAGGGGAGCGUUCUAAGGACAGUGAAGUCAGACCGGAAGGACUGGUGGAGUGCUUAGAAGUGAGAAUGCCGGUAUGAGUAGCGAAAGACGGGUGAGAAUCCCGUCCACCGAAUGCCUAAGGUUUCCUGAGGAAGGCUCGUCCGCUCAGGGUUAGUCAGGACCUAAGCCGAGGCCGACAGGCGUAGGCGAUGGACAACAGGUUGAUAUUCCUGUACCACCUCUUUAUCGUUUGAGCAAUGGAGGGACGCAGAAGGAUAGAAGAAGCGUGCGAUUGGUUGUGCACGUCCAAGCAGUUAGGCUGAUAAGUAGGCAAAUCCGCUUAUCGUGAAGGCUGAGCUGUGAUGGGGAAGCUCCUUAUGGAGCGAAGUCUUUGAUUCCCCGCUGCCAAGAAAAGCUUCUAGCGAGAUAAAAGGUGCCUGUACCGCAAACCGACACAGGUAGGCGAGGAGAGAAUCCUAAGGUGUGCGAGAGAACUCUGGUUAAGGAACUCGGCAAAAUGACCCCGUAACUUCGGGAGAAGGGGUGCUUUCUUAACGGAAAGCCGCAGUGAAUAGGCCCAAGCGACUGUUUAGCAAAAACACAGCUCUCUGCGAAGCCGUAAGGCGAAGUAUAGGGGGUGACACCUGCCCGGUGCUGGAAGGUUAAGGAGAGGGGUUAGCGUAAGCGAAGCUCUGAACUGAAGCCCCAGUAAACGGCGGCCGUAACUAUAACGGUCCUAAGGUAGCGAAAUUCCUUGUCGGGUAAGUUCCGACCCGCACGAAAGGUGUAACGAUUUGGGCACUGUCUCAACCAGAGACUCGGUGAAAUUAUAGUACCUGUGAAGAUGCAGGUUACCCGCGACAGGACGGAAAGACCCCGUGGAGCUUUACUGUAGCCUGAUAUUGAAUUUUGGUACAGUUUGUACAGGAUAGGCGGGAGCCUUUGAAACCGGAGCGCUAGCUUCGGUGGAGGCGCUGGUGGGAUACCGCCCUGACUGUAUUGAAAUUCUAACCUACGGGUCUUAUCGACCCGGGAGACAGUGUCAGGUGGGCAGUUUGACUGGGGCGGUCGCCUCCUAAAGUGUAACGGAGGCGCCCAAAGGUUCCCUCAGAAUGGUUGGAAAUCAUUCGUAGAGUGCAAAGGCAUAAGGGAGCUUGACUGCGAGACCUACAAGUCGAGCAGGGACGAAAGUCGGGCUUAGUGAUCCGGUGGUUCCGCAUGGAAGGGCCAUCGCUCAACGGAUAAAAGCUACCCCGGGGAUAACAGGCUUAUCUCCCCCAAGAGUCCACAUCGACGGGGAGGUUUGGCACCUCGAUGUCGGCUCAUCGCAUCCUGGGGCUGUAGUCGGUCCCAAGGGUUGGGCUGUUCGCCCAUUAAAGCGGUACGCGAGCUGGGUUCAGAACGUCGUGAGACAGUUCGGUCCCUAUCCGUCGUGGGCGUAGGAAAUUUGAGAGGAGCUGUCCUUAGUACGAGAGGACCGGGAUGGACGCACCGCUGGUGUACCAGUUGUUCUGCCAAGGGCAUAGCUGGGUAGCUAUGUGCGGAAGGGAUAAGUGCUGAAAGCAUCUAAGCAUGAAG
rnacentral:rRNA from 1 species